rfam:Xenopus laevis strain J chromosome 5L, whole genome shotgun sequence.
UCAGAGGUUUUUUUUAAAACCACGAAUGACAUGAUGUGAUUUAUUU